rnacentral:lncRNA from 13 species
GUCCACAUCCCACCGCUCCUAAACGUUCAUGUGACUUUAUAAAACUUUAUUUGAUGUUUGGAAAAAUUCUAUAUGAUAAUCAAUUUUGAGCCUGGUUAAAGCAUCGCAAAUUAUUAAUGUGCCAAUUAUUUACAUAGAAUAAACUUUAAGGCUUUGUCUUACUAAACGAAGAAUCUCAAAUGGUGAUGUUAUGCAAGAAGAUCUGCAACACUUGAGUCAUUCUUAUUAUGUAGGCUAAAGUAAUAGUACUUUCUAUCACUCCAACAGAAUCUUAAUGACAGAAUUAUUAACUGUUAACACACAUAACGUUACUUUAUAAUUAAAAUACGAGUCAGGAAUAUAAGGUAGAAGUCUCAAAAAUGUAUUUAGAUUAUUUGGGACGCAGCAAAAUAGUCGUAUCAUUUUCUUACAUCUCGCGUGAGAGAUCUUUAUGUUGUAUAAAGUGUUCCAGAUCGUCUUUCAUAUGUGAACUCUGACCCACUUUGAGCUAAUUCUCGGUUAUUAUUUGGUUCAUUAUAAAUUUAACAAACAUA